rnacentral:rRNA from 1 species
AUGCCAGGUGUUAUACCGGUAGCUUCAGGUGGUAUUCAUGUUUGGCAUAUGCCGGCUCUGACCGAAAUCUUUGGGGACGAUUCUGUAUUACAAUUUGGUGGAGGAACUUUAGGACAUCCUUGGGGAAAUGCACCUGGUGCAGUAGCUAAUCGAGUGGCUUUAGAAGCCUGUGUACAAGCUCGUAAUGAAGGGCGCGAUCUUGCUCCCGCAGCUUGUGAAGUAUGGAAGGCGAUCAAAUUCGAGUUCGAGCUGGUAGAUACUAUUGAUAAGUAG